rnacentral:rRNA from 1 species
GAUGAACGCUGGCGGCGUGCCUAAUACAUGCAAGUCGAGCGAACGGACGAGAAGCUUGCUUCUCUGAUGUUAGCGGCGGACGGGUGAGUAACACGUGGAUAACCUACCUAUAAGACUGGGAUAACUUCGGGAAACCGUAGCUAAUACCGGAUAAUAUUUUGAACCGCAUGGUUCAAAAGUGAAAGACGGUCUUGCUGUCACUUAUAGAUGGAUCCGCGCUGCAUUAGCUAGUUGGUAAGGUAACGGCUUACCAAGGCAACGAUGCAUAGCCGACCUGAGAGGGUGAUCGGCCACACUGGAACUGAGACACGGUCCAGACUCCUACGGGAGGCAGCAGUAGGGAAUCUUCCGCGAUGGACGAAAGCCUGACGGAGCAACGCCGCGUGAGUGAUGAAGGUCUUCGGAUCGUAAAACUCUGUUAUUAGGGAAGAACAUAUGUGUAAGUAGCUGUGCACAUCUUGACGGUACCUAAUCAGAAAGCCACGGCUAACUACGUG